UGCCCCAUGGCUGAGUUGGUUACAGCGUCCGACUGUUAUUUCCUAUGAACAUCGGAAGGUCGUGAGUUCGAGCCUCACUGGGGCAG